UGCCAUGAUGAAAAUGAACUAAACUUCAAAUC
rnacentral:piRNA from 1 species